rnacentral:rRNA from 1 species
AUGAACGCUAGCUACAGGCUUAACACAUGCAAGUCGAGGGGCAGCAUUUUAGUUUGCUUGCAAACUAAAGAUGGCGACCGGCGCACGGGUGAGUAACACGUAUCCAACCUGCCGAUAACUCGGGGAUAGCCUUUCGAAAGAAAGAUUAAUAUCCGAUAGUAUAUUAAAACCGCAUGGUUUUACUAUUAAAGAAUUUCGGUUAUCGAUGGGGAUGCGUUCCAUUAGUUUGUUGGCGGGGUAACGGCCCACCAAGACUACGAUGGAUAGGGGUUCUGAGAGGAAGGUCCCCCACAUUGGAACUGAGACACGGUCCAAACUCCUACGGGAGGCAGCAGUGAGGAAUAUUGGUCAAUGGACGAGAGUCUGAACCAGCCAAGUAGCGUGAAGGAUGACUGCCCUAUGGGUUGUAAACUUCUUUUAUAUGGGAAUAAAGUAUUCCACGUGUGGGAUUUUGUAUGUACCAUAUGAAUAAGGAUCGGCUAACUCCGUGCCAGCAGCCGCGGUAAUACGGAGGAUCCGAGCGUUAUCCGGAUUUAUUGGGUUUAAAGGGAGCGUAGGUGGAUUGUUAAGUCAGUUGUGAAAGUUUGCGGCUCAACCGUAAAAUUGCAGUUGAAACUGGCAGUCUUGAGUACAGUAGAGGUGGGCGGAAUUCGUGGUGUAGCGGUGAAAUGCUUAGAUAUCACGAAGAACUCCGAUUGCGAAGGCAGCUCACUAGACUGCAACUGACACUGAUGCUCGAAAGUGUGGGUAUCAAACAGGAUUAGAUACCCUGGUAGUCCACGCCGUAAACGAUGAAUACUAGGUGUCGGGUGGCAAAGCCAUUCGGUGCCGCAGCAAACGCAAUAAGUAUUCCACCUGGGGAGUACGUUCGCAAGAAUGAAACUCAAAGGAAUUGACGGGGGCCCGCACAAGCAGUGGAGUAUGUGGUUUAAUUCGAAGCAACGCGAAGAACCUUACCAGGUCUUGACAUCCGAUGCAUAGCACAGAGAUGUGUGAAAUCCUUCGGGACAUCGAGACAGGUGGUGCAUGGUUGUCGUCAGCUCGUGCCGUGAGGUGUCGGCUUAAGUGCCAUAACGAGCGCAACCCUUAUCUUUAGUUACUAACAGGUCAUGCUGAGGACUCUAGAGAGACUGCCGUCGUAAGAUGUGAGGAAGGUGGGGAUGACGUCAAAUCAGCACGGCCCUUACGUCCGGGGCUACACACGUGUUACAAUGGGGGGUACAGAAGGCAGCUACCUGGCGACAGGAUGCUAAUCCCAAAAACCUCUCUCAGUUCGGAUCGAAGUCUGCAACCCGACUUCGUGAAGCUGGAUUCGCUAGUAAUCGCGCAUCAGCCAUGGCGCGGUGAAUACGUUCCCGGGCCUUGUACACACCGCCCGUCAAGCCAUGGGAGCCGGGGGUACCUGAAGUGCGUAACCGCGAGGAUCGCCCUAGGGUAAAACUGGUGACUGGGGCU